GGGUUUUUUUUUGCGGUCGUGGCGGCUGCUGCUCCUACUGCCGCAACUUGGAAUCCAAAACGCUUCGUGGUGCUCUCAGGACAGAACCAUGAACCCAGCGCAGCUGCGGUGCGUGACACCGCCAGGCACCGCCUGCGGAGGCUGACGUGUCCUCCUUGGCCUGAGCCCACCCGCAGCGCAGCGCCGAGUUGCUCCUGCUAGCGGCUGCCGGGGAGGGACUGGAGCGGCGGGACACCUUCGGGGAGCGUGCAAAGGUGGAACCGCAGCCGCCGCCACCUCUCUCUCCCCUGGGGAUGUGCAAAAUUACCAUGAAAUUAUGACUUGUCAUCCUGCGAGUUACCAGUUGGAAAAUUGGAGUCUAGAAAAUGUUGCCCCCAUUUUAGCCCACCGGUUCCCCAAUGGCUAUAUUUGGGUGAUAAAGUGUUCCCGAACGCAUUUGCACAAAUUCAGCUGCCGUGAUAGUUUUCUGAAAAGUAACAUAUUUGGUUGCCCAGAACACAAUACUACAUAUAUUAAUUUUAUAACAUUAUAUAUACUAUUA
rnacentral:lncRNA from 10 species